GCACAAGCGGCGGAGCAUGCGGAUUAAUUCGAUGCAACGCGAAGAACCUUACCAAGGCUUGACAUACACCGGUAACGCCCAGAGAUGGGUGCCCCUUUGUGGUCGGUGUACAGGUGGUGCAUGGUUGUCGUCAGCUCGUGUCGUGAGAUGUUGGGUUAAGUCCCGCAACGAGCGCAACCCUCGUCCUAUGUUGCCAGCGGGUCAUGCCGGGGACUCAUGGGAGACUGCCGGGGUCAACUCGGAGGAAGUGGGGAUGACGUCAAAUCAUCAUGCCCCUUAUGUCUUGGGCUUCACGCAUGCUACAAUGGCCGGUACAAAGGGCUGCGAUACCGCGAGGUGGAGCGAAUCCCAGAAAGCCGGUCUCAGUUCGGAUUGGGGUCUGCAACUCGACCCCAUGAAGUCGGAGUCGCUAGUAAUCGCAGAUCAGCAACACUGCGGUGAAUACGUUCCCGGGCCUU
rnacentral:rRNA from 1 species